GGCGAACGCUGGCGGCGUGCCUAAUACAUGCAAGUCGAACGCACUCUCGUUUAGAUUGAAGGAGCUUGCUCCUGAUUGAUAAACAUUUGAGUGAGUGGCGGACGGGUGAGUAACACGUGGGUAACCUGCCCUAAAGUGGGGGAUAACAUUUGGAAACAGAUGCUAAUACCGCAUAAAACCUAAACACCGCAUGGUGUAGGGUUGAAAGAUGGUUUCGGCUAUCACUUUAGGAUGGACCCGCGGUGCAUUAGUUAGUUGGUGAGGUAAAGGCUCACCAAGACCGUGAUGCAUAGCCGACCUGAGAGGGUAAUCGGCCACACUGGGACUGAGACACGGCCCAGACUCCUACGGGAGGCAGCAGUAGGGAAUCUUCCACAAUGGACGAAAGUACUGAUGGAGCAACGCCGCGUGAGUGAAGAAGGUUUUCGGAUCGUAAAACUCUAGUUGUUGGAGAAGAAUGUAUCUGAUAGUAACUGAUCAGGUAGUGACGGUAUCC
rnacentral:rRNA from 1 species